GGCUCAGGAUGAACGCUAGCGGCAGGCUUAAUACAUGCAAGUCGUGGGGCAGCAUGAGUAGCAAUACUUGAUGGCGACCGGCAAACGGGUGAGGAACACGUACACAACCUUCCUUCAAGCGGGGAAUAGCCCAGAGAAAUUUGGAUUAAUACCCCAUAAUAUAUUUGAUAAGGCAUCUUAUUAAUAUUAAAGCUUCGGCACUUGAUGAUGGGUGUGCGGCUGAUUAGAUAGUUGGCGGGUAACGGCCCACCAAGUCUACGAUCAGUAGCUGAUGUGAGAGCAUGAUCAGCCACACGGGCACUGAGACACGGGCCCGACUCCUACGGGAGGCAGCAGUAAGGAAUAUUGGACAAUGGACGAAAGUCUGAUCCAGCCAUGCCGCGUGAAGGAUUAAGGUCCUCUGGAUUGUAAACUUCUUUUAUAUGGGACGAAAAAAGGGCAUUCUUGUUCACUUGACGGUACCAUAUGAAUAAGCACCGGCUAACUCCGUG
rnacentral:rRNA from 1 species